AGCCCCGUAGUGUAGUGGUCAAUCAUUCGGGCCUUUGGAGCCCGAGACGGCAGUUCGAAUCUGCCCGGGGCUA
rnacentral:tRNA from 1 species